rnacentral:lncRNA from 1 species
UGAGAGAUUUUUAAGUUGCUAUUAAAAUUUUCUGGUGACCUCAUCUUCUUUGUCUCCUACAGUCUCUAUUGUAGCUGAAACAGAAGAAAUCAAGGCCAUUUUGAAGGACAAGGGAAUUGACGUGGAGACCAUUGCUGAGGUAUACCCCAUCAGAGUACAACCAGCUCGUAUUCUCAGCCACAUUUAUUCCAGCCUAGGAUGCAACAAUAGAAUGAAACUCAGUGGACGACCCUACAGACACAUGGGAGUGCUUGGAACUUCAAAACUCUAUGACAUUCGGAAAACUAUCUUUACUUUCACUCCACAGGUGGGUGAAAUAAGCUUGAAUGUGCAUUAAGAUGAAUGGAAAUAAAAGAAAAACAUUGGAGAAGUAAA